rnacentral:rRNA from 1 species
AACGAACGCUGGCGGCAUGCCUAACACAUGCAAGUCGAACGAGACCUUCGUGUCUAGGUGCGCACGGGUGCGUAACGCGGGGGAACCUGCCCUUAGGUUCGCAAUAACUCCCCGAAAGGUGUGCUAAUACCGGAUAAGGUCUUCGGACCAAGGAGUUAUCGCCUUUGGAUGGGCCCGUGUUGGCUUAGCCAGUUGGUAGGGGAAAAGCCUACCAAGGGGACGAUGCAUAGCUGGUCUGAGAGGAUGAUCAGCCACACUGGGAAUGAGACACGGCCCCGACUGCUACGGGAGGCAGCAGUGGGGAAUAUUGGACAAUGGGCGAAAGCCUGAUCAAGCAAUGCCGCGUGAGUGAUGAAGGCCUUAGGGUUGUAAAGCUCUUUUAGCCGGGAUGAUAAUGACAGUAACGGGAGAAUAAGCACCGGCUAACUACGUG